UAAUUGAAGAGUUUGAUCAUGGCUCAGAUUGAACGCUGGCGGCAGGCCUAACACAUGCAAGUCGAGCGGUAACAGGGGAAGCUUGCUUCCCGCUGACGAGC
rnacentral:rRNA from 1 species